rnacentral:rRNA from 1 species
CAGUCGCCGCGGUAAUACGGAGGAUCCAAGCGUUAUCCGGAAUCAUUGGGUUUAAAGGGUCCGUAGGCGGUCUUGUAAGUCAGUGGUGAAAGCCCAUCGCUCAACGGUGGAACGGCCAUUGAUACUGCAGGACUUGAAUUAUUGGGAAGUAACUAGAAUAUGUAGUGUAGCGGUGAAAUGCUUAGAGAUUACAUGGAAUACCAAUUGCGAAGGCAGGUUACUACCAAUUGAUUGACGCUGAUGGACGAAAGCGUGGGUAGCGAACAGGAUUAGAUACCCCUGUAGUCCCUGUCUCUUAAAC